GUUGAACGCUGGCGGCAUGCCUUACACAUGCAAGUCGAACGGCAGCACGGGAGCUUGCUCCUGGUGGCGAGUGGCGAACGGGUGAGUAAUACAUCGGAACGUACCCUGAAGUGGGGGAUAACGUAGCGAAAGUUACGCUAAUACCGCAUAUUCUGUGAGCAGGAAAGAGGGGGAUCGCAAGACCUCUUGGCUUUAGGAGCGGCCGAUGUCGGAUUAGCUAGUUGGUGAGGUAAAGGCUCACCAAGGCGACGAUCCGUAGCGGGUCUGAGAGGAUGAUCCGCCACACUGGGACUGAGACACGGCCCAGACCU
rnacentral:rRNA from 1 species